GAUGAACGCUAGCGGGAGGCCUAACACAUGCAAGCCGAGCGGUAUUGUUUCUUCGGAAAUGAGAGAGCGGCGUACGGGUGCGGAACACGUGUGCAACCUGCCUUUAUCUGGGGGAUAGCCUUUCGAAAGGAAGAUUAAUACUCCAUAACAUAUUGAACGGCAUCGUUCGAUAUUGAAAGCUCCGGCGGAUAGAGAUGGGCACGCGCAAGAUUAGCUAGUUGGUGAGGUAACGGCUCACCAAGGCGAUGAUCUUUAGGGGGCCUGAGAGGGUGAUCCCCCACACUGGUACUGAGACACGGACCAGACCCCUACGGGAGGCAGCAGUGAGGAAUAUUGGUCAAUGGGUGCAAGCCUGAACCAGCCAUCCCGCGUGAAGGACGACUGCCCUAUGGGUUGUAAACUUCUUUUGUAUAGGGAUAAACCUGCCCUCGUGAGGGUAGCUGAAGGUACUAUACGAAUAAGCACCGGCUAACUCCGUG
rnacentral:rRNA from 1 species